AUUGAACGCUGGCGGCAGGCCUAACACAUGCAAGUCGAAUGGUAACAGGAAACAGCUUGCUGUUUCGCUGACGAGUGGCGGACGGGUGAGUAAUGUCUGGGAAACUGCCUGAUGGAGGGGGAUAACUACUGGAAACGGUAGCUAAUACCGCAUAACGUCGCAAGACCAAAGAGGGGGACCUUCGGGCCUCUUGCCAUCAGAUGUGCCCAGAUGGGAUUCGCUAGUAGGUGGGGUAACGGCUCACCUAGGCGACGAUCCCUAGCUGGUCUGAGAGGAUGACCAGCCACACUGGAACUGAGACACGGUCCAGACUCCUACGGGAGGCAGCAGUGGGGAAUAUUGCACAAUGGGCGCAAGCCUGAUGCAGCCAUGCCGCGUGUAUGAAGAAGGCCUUCGGGUUGUAAAGUACUUUCAGCGGGGAGGAAGGGAGUAAAGUUAAUACCUUUGCUCAUUGACGUUACCCGCAGAAGAAGCACCGGCUAACUCCGUG
rnacentral:rRNA from 1 species